GAUGAACGCUGGCGGCGUGCCUAAUACAUGCAAGUCGAACGAAGAUCUAGCUUGCUAGAUCUUAGUGGCGAACGGGUGAGUAAUACAUAAAUAAUCUGCCCAUAUGACUGGGAUAACUAUUGGAAACGAUAGCUAAUACCGGAUAGGUUGAUUGGAGGCAUCUCUGAUUAAUUAAAGUAGGAUUUCUACACAAAUGGAUGAGUUUAUGGCGCAUUAGUUAGUUGGUGGGGUAACGGCCUACCAAGACGAUGAUGCGUAGCCGACCUGAGAGGGUGACCGGCCACCCUGGGACUGAGACACGGCCCAGACUCCUACGGGAGGCAGCAGUAGGGAAUUUUCGGCAAUGGGCGCAAGCCUGACCGAGCAACGCCGCGUGAGUGAUUAAGGCCUUCGGGUUGUAAAGCUCUGUUGUAAGGGAAGAACAUUCAGGAUAGGAAAUGAUCUUGAACUGACGGUACCUUACCAGAAAGCCACGGCUAACUACGUGCCAGCAGCCGCCGUAA
rnacentral:rRNA from 1 species